CCGAGGGAGACCAGGAAGAUCUGCAUGGUGGGAAGGACCUGAUGAUACAGAGGUAAGUGCUUUAUAAAGCACUCAAUUUCUACUCAGAAAUUUUUGAUGGCCUUAAGUUCCUCUACUCGUUUCUAUCCUUCCUACUCACUGUCCUCCCGGAAUCCACUACCGAUUUUCUAUUUCUUGCCUCGUAUUGUCUGACUGGCUCACUUGGAUUUAUCCUCACGGAGUCUGGAUUUUCUACCCGGGCUCACCUCCGUCCCUCCAUAUUUGUCCUCCACUUUCACAGAUCCCUGGGAGAAAUGCCCGGCCGCCAUCUUGGGUCAUCGAU
rnacentral:lncRNA from 1 species